GAUGCUGCCGGCCCGAGGCUGAGCCACCCUCCCCGCCGAGUUCCCGCCCGGCCCUCUGCAAUCCCAAGCCCAAGCCGCCGGCUACGCGCCCCGCGCCCCCUUGGCGCCGCGUCCAGUGCCCAGCGCGCUUUGAAUGCUGCAGCUCCGGGCCGGGCCGCUCCGCUUCUCUGCUCGCUGGGACGCUCUCCGACGGCUCCGCCCUCGCCCCUCGCCCCGCGUCCCUGCAGACCCCGGGGAGGUGGGGUCCGGGCCGGGCACAGCCCCGCUGAGGCAGGAUGUUCACGUCCAAGUCCAACUCGGUGUCGCCCUCGCCGUCCCUGGAGCAGGCUGACUCGGAAGCCCUGGACAUCAGCACCAAAGUGCAGCUCUACGGCGUGCUGUGGAAGCGGCCUUUCGGCAGGCCGUCGGCCAAGUGGUCCCGGCGGUUUUUCAUCAUCAAAGAGAGCUUUCUGCUUUACUACUCUGAGAGCGAAAAAAAGAGCUUUGAAACCAAUAAAUACUUCAAUAUACAUCCUAAGGUGAGGCGGCCCCUCCCAGGGCCACAGCAGGGGAGGGCCCAGUGCGGGCAUCAGGGCUUGCAUCUUGUGAGGGGAGGGGACUGCGCUCUUGCUCUGGCCUAGCAGAGAGUCUGGAGAGCAAAUCCUCUUGGGGCAAAAGACCCCCUGCCCCUGUCCUGGGCUGGACCCUCACCCUCCUGUGCCCCAGACCCUGCCCCAGCCCUUCCUCUUCUCUCUGAACGUCAGUUCUGGCCUCUGUCCCAUGGCUCCAGGGUCUAGCUUCCAUCCUGGGCCACUUGGCAGGACCUGGCUUUGUCCAGGGGCCCCCAGAACCCCUGAGUGACCCCAGUUGGGUGGGGUGGGGGCUGCCUGUUCUGGUUCUUUCUCAGGGCGUCAUCCCUCUGGGGGGCUGCCUGGUGGAGCCCAAGGAAGAGCCUAGCAUGCCCUAUGCCAUGAAGAUCUCCCACCAGGACUUCCAUGUGAGUAAAGCUCUUCCCUCAGCCUGGGCUCCGCAGGACCAGACCAGCCUCUCAGGCCUCUUCAGAACAAACACCCCAUGUCCUGGCCUGGGAGAGGGACAUCAGCACCCAGGGAUGUGGGGUGGGUGACAAGGCAGAGCUGGGCCUCCAUCACCCUCAGCGUGGCUGCCUCUCAGGCACACGCAUGGCUCCUCUUCCUGGCAGGGGAACAUCUUGCUUGCUGCUGAGUCGGAGUUCGAGCAGACCCAGUGGCUGGAGAUGCUACAGGAGUCUGGGAAGGUGUAAGUGCUCACAGCCAGGAGGGCAGCUUGCAAAUCCAGGACGGGGUGGGCGGGGCUGCCCCUGAACUCCCUGCCUCUCUGCUGGGAUCCUGGUGGGCACAGGGCCAGGGCUGUGGGAGAUGGCUAGGGUGGGUGAGAGGAGACAGGCCAGGUUUUAGAGUAUCUGUGAGGGGUCCCCUGAGUGAGCUUGGAAAGUGUCUAGGUCACAGGUGGCAGGUGUGGGUACUAUUUGUCUCCAACUCUUGGGAGUUGUAUUUGAUGCCUCUUGACACCCAUCUCACCUCCCCAGGCCCAUAAUUAAUUCUAGCAAGGACUAGAGCUGGUGCUUUGUAAAUUAGGGUCAAGAUCACAGAAAUCUCCAGCCAACCUAGUCCAUUUUUAUGUAAACCACUGUCCUGACACCUGCCUAGUCAGGCUAGGUCAUGCUUUUAGUUCAAAAAACAACACCGACUGUGUGCUCUGUGGCAGGCCUUGCGCUGGGUAGCGGACAUUCAGUGACGUAAAAAAAGCCACCCAGGAAGCAAUCUCCUCCCUGCUCUAAAAGUGCUGUUGGCCCAGCCCCCAGUGGCCCACUUUGCAGCCUGGGCCAGCCUCCAGCUACUGUAACUGAUCCGUGCUGGUGACAUGCCCAGAGCCAUGGGUGCCAGAGUGAAUGCAAGCUGAGAUUCUGGAGGAGAAAGGGUGGGCGAGUACAAAACGUAUGCCUUCUCUUUCCCCUCUACCCUUCCGUUUUAAUGAUUUUCUGUUUCUUCCCCUUCUCUCCUCUGUUCCAUCUGCCCUCCCUCCCCAGGACCUGGAAGAAUGCCCAGCUGGGAGAAGCCAUGAUCAAAAGCCUGGAGGCCCAGGGGCUGCAGUUGGCUAAGGAAAAGCAGGAGUAUUUAGGUUGGCUGGAGGGGUGGUUCCCUAAUGGUAGCAGCACUUGGGGACCAGGGGCUAUAGCCAGGGGCUUGGUAAAGGACCCAAUAGGGAUGAGGGUCUCUCAGGUGGGGCUAUGAGGGGACAGACCAGUUCGGCACCUGGAGGGCUUCCUGGUAUAGUACGCAUCCUUUUGGCCAGCAUGACUGAAGGCAGGAGCGUCUGGUGGUUAAGAGCCUGGGCUCUGGAUCCAGCUUCAUCACUUGUCACCCAUCUCAGCUAUGUAUAUCUUUAGGCAGCUCAGCUCUCUAAGCCUCAAUUUCCUCAUCCUUAAAAUCGAGUUAAAAAUAGUCUCUAGCUUUUAGAGGAUUGGGUUAAAUGAGAAAAUGUCUGUAAGUUCUUGAGCGAGACAUGCAGUAAGGGCUCCAUAAGUGGAGUUGAUGUUGUUAUCCUAUCCUGGGUCCCCAGGGCCUGGCUUGUCCCCAGUACCCUUGCCCCAGGCCAUUUUAAACCUUGCCACAGCGUUCCAGGCCUUGGGCCCCUGACUCGUUGGUAAACAUGCACUGUUUGGGAGAGAAGAUGAGACUGAGGGUUUGCCUUCAGCCUAGGACCCUCUCCCCUCUGUCUGCUUAGACACUUGGGGCCCCAGCACUGGCUCCCCUAUGCCUGCUUCAGAACCUCCUAGGUUCUGCCCUCCCUACUAGCCAGACGUUAGUGCAGGUGGAAGGUGAGUGUGGGACUAGCCUAGGUGCAGCAGGCCUGGGGGGAUGCAGAGACUCCGUUGAACUUCCAACAAUGAGGCCCCUCAUAACCCUAGGAAGAGAAAAAGCAGGAUGAUGAUGGGGAAGGAGGGUGGCAGCUUCCAUCACCAGGAGCUGGCCCACCCUCUGGCUGGCAGGGCUGCAGGCCCCUUCCUUGGGAGAUGCUGGGGGUGACAGCGACCACCUUAGGCACCAGCUCCCUCAAGACCUCAGAGCACUUUCCUGAUUGUGUGUGCAUGUGUGUGUGUGUGCUUGUUUUGGCAGACAAACUGAUGGAAGAGACCGAAGAACUCUGCCUUCAGAGGGAGCAGAGAGAGGUAAGUGCACACCAAGGGGCCCUCAGCAGCCGUGGUGUAAUGGCUCACGUUUCUAGCAUUAGGGAAUGAUGCAGGGGAGCUCGGUGCACAGAGGACUUGCUAGAAGAUCAGAUGGGGCAGGGCGGGGAGGCCAAAUGGGAUCACAGUGCUUGCUUGGGACUUGCUGUGGCUUGUUGUUAAGAAGUGUCUUUCUCCUUACCAACCCCUGGAAGUAAAGUGAAAAGGGUGGGUGAUGACCUUCCAGAGAAAGAGCCAUCCAAAAUGUCAUCAGCUGCAUCAGUUGGUAAUGAGCUGCUUGUCAAUAAUGUUAUGGGAGCUAUAAUGCCCUCUGUUAUCCAUAGAGGGCUAUCUGGCACCUGAGGGUGAUUGGGCUUGAUGAUCUCAGAAGUUCCUUCAUUCUCUGAAUGUCAAAAGUCCAGAACAGGCUAAGCACUGGCUUGAGGCAGCCUAGAGGGUAAAGGAGACUCUUGCCUUGUCUGAAGGUGGGGAGCCACCGAAGCCCUCUUCUUCAUUUAGAAUCUCAGUGCAGGCUGGGCGCAGUGGCUCAUGCCUGUAAUCCCAGCACUGUGGGAGGCCAAGGCGGGCGGAUCACCUGAGGUCGGGAAUUCAAGACCAGCCUGGCCAACAUGGUGAAACCCCGUCUCUACUAAAAGUACAAAAAUAA
rnacentral:sRNA from 1 species